CCUACGGGGGGCAGCAGUGGGGAAUAUUGCGCAAUGGGCGAAAGCCUGACGCAGCGACGCCGCGUGAGGGAUGAAGGUCUUCGGAUCGUAAACCUCUGUCAGGAGGGAAGAAGUGGUUAUAUGCGAAUAGUGUAUGACUUUGACGGUACCUCCAAAGGAAGCACCGGCUAACUCCGUGCCAGCAGCCGCGGUAAUACGGAGGGUGCGAGCGUUAAUCGGAAUCACUGGGCGUAAAGCGCGCGUAGGCGGCUUUUCAAGUCAGGGGUGAAAUCCCACGGCCCAACCGUGGAACUGCCUUUGAAACUGUAGAGCUUGAGUGUCGGAGAGGGUGGCGGAAUUCCAGGUGUAGGAGUGAAAUCCGUAGAUAUCUGGAGGAACACCGGUGGCGAAGGCGGCCACCUGGACGACAACUGACGCUGAGGUGCGAAAGCGUGGGUA
rnacentral:rRNA from 1 species